UACGGAGGGGGCUAGCGUUGUUCGGAAUUACUGGGCGUAAAGCGCACGUAGGCGGACUGUUAAGUCGGGGGGUGAAAAUCCUGGGGCUCAACCUCAGAAUUGCCUCCGAUACUGGCAGUCUCGAGUGCGGGAGAGGUGAGUGGAAUUCCCAGUGUAGAGGUGAAAAUUCGUAGAUAUUCGGAAGAACACCAGUGGCGAAAGGCGGCUCACUGGACCGGUAUUGACGCUGAGGUGA
rnacentral:rRNA from 1 species